rnacentral:rRNA from 1 species
CCUACGGGAGGCAGCAGUGAGGAAUAUUGGUCAAUGGGCGCGAGCCUGAACCAGCCAAGUAGCGUGAAGGAUGACUGCCCUCCGGGUUGUAAACUUCUUUUAUAAAGGAAUACAGUGAGGCACGUGUGCCUCUUUGUAUGUACUUUAUGAAUAAGGAUCGGCGAACGCCGCGCCAGCAGCCGCGGUAAUACGGAGGAUCCGAGCGUUAUCAGGAUUUAUUGUGUUUAAAGGGAGCGUAGGUGGGUUGUUAAGUCAGUUGUGAAAGUUUGCGGCUCAACGGUAAAAUUGCAAUUGAUACUGGCAGCCUUGAGUGCAGGUGAGGUAGGCGGAAUUCGUGGUGUAGCGGUGAAAUGCUUAGAUAUCACGAAGAACACCGAUGGCGAAGGCAGCUUACUAAACUGCCACUGACAUUGAUGCGCGAAAGUGUGGGUAUCAAACAGGAUUAGAUACCCUGGUAGUC